rnacentral:rRNA from 1 species
GUGGGGAAUUUUGGACAAUGGGCGCAAGCCUGAUCCAGCAAUGCCGCGUGCAGGAAGAAGGCCUUCGGGUUGUAAACUGCUUUUGUACGGAACGAAAAGGUCUGGGUUAAUACCCUGGGCUCAUGACGGUACCGUAAGAAUAAGCACCGGCUAACUACGUGCCAGCAGCCGCGGUAAUACGUAGGGUGCGAGCGUUAAUCGGAAUUACUGGGCGUAAAGCGUGCGCAGGCGGUUUUGUAAGACAGGCGUGAAAUCCCCGGGCUCAACCUGGGAAUGGCGCUUGUGACUGCAAAGCUGGAGUGCGGCAGAGGGGGAUGGAAUUCCGCGUGUAGCAGUGAAAUGCGUAGAUAUGCGGAGGAACACCGAUGGCGAAGGCAAUCCCCUGGGCCUGCACUGACGCUCAUGCACGAAAGCGUGGGGAGCAAACAGGAUUAGAAACCCGUGUAGUCC